rnacentral:misc_RNA from 1 species
GUAGGUGAACCUGCGGAAGGAUCAUUACAGAGUUCAUGCCCUUCGGGGUAGACCUCCCACCCUUGAAUAUAUACCUUUGUUGCUUUGGCGGGCCGCUUCGGCUACUGGCUUCGGCUGGUGAGUGCCCGCCAGAGGACCCAAAAUUCUGAAUUAUAGUGUCGUCUGAGUACUAUAUAAUAGUUAAAACUUUCAACAACGGAUCUCUUGGUUCUG